UUACUUCUGUUGCUAUGAAUCUGGCAGCAUGUUAGCAGCUAGCCACUGUUUAUAAGAAGGGAUCCCAGCAGCUAGAAGUCAGUCAUUGGGAUUACUCAUCACUUGCCUGGUGAGCUGCUCCAGGGAAUUUCUUGAAGAAUUGUGUCAAAAUUAGCUUUAGAAGACCAGCAAUUUGAGAGCUUUGAUGGACACAUAUCAGGCACUCCCAGACCAGCAUUGGUCAAAUUGGUGCGCUCGGAAGAAAGAUUCUUUUUGCUGGUAGAGUUUUUCCUCUUUUGUGAAAGGAGAGAAGAGGAUAAACAAGGACUACUUCUUCCUCUCUGCGAGAAGAAAUCUGAUUCAUUGGGAACACAAUCACCACGAUACCAUGAAUGCUUGCAGGAGGAUACAUUCGCUCCGUGCUCACAACAGACAGAGAAACAAUGCCAACACACAUGAGAACUGGCACAGUACCUCUGGGUUCAAGCGACAGCGUGGAGACGAGCUUGCUACAGUCCUUACGCUUUACACAGUGAUCGUCAUGGUCCUUCUGAUGGCAAUCUGGGGAGCCUGGACAAGGAAGGAUUCAUACAUAUAGUAGUAGCAGUACGCUUCCUUUGUCAAAUAUUUUAAAAAAAUACUUGUAUUGAUUAUUUGUACCCAGGAGGUACAAAAAGAAUGGUCCCUGCCUAUUACAGUGUACUUGAAACCGCUUAGACUACUGCUACUUGUGGAACUGAAGCUGUGAAGCGAUUUAAUAGGCAAUGUACAGAACAUGAUGUUGUGAAUAAUAUAACUGUUUGUAUAUAACAUAUAAACUUGUUUGUAUUACCCUUUGCAUGUAUAUGAAACAUUCUAAGCAUAAUACACUCUUGGGAAGAAGAGUUCAACUAAUAUUUUUAUCUGUCAGUGUUUUGUAUAUCAAAGCAGUUUUCCAUUUUCUAAUCUUACGUUGUCCAGUCUCUACCUCUGCUAAGAUUACCUGUCCAAAUCCAUGGUAAAACAUGCAUUAUGAACAGGCAACUAUCUGCCUUGCCACAACAACAUAGGAAAAAAAUAAAUUAAUCAAUCAAUAAAAACAGCUAUCCUGCAGACAAAGGACUUCUGAACAAAUCGAAUUCUCAUCUCAGUUGCUGAAGGGAGUUUAUAUGGAUGACAGGGCUUGCAUCUGCAUGCAUUCAACUUCUGGUGUAACCUCAGGAAUGAACCCAUGAAAUAAACUGUAUUUCUAAGCA